rnacentral:lncRNA from 1 species
GUUAAAGAUGUCAUUCUCCAUGGAUUCCAGUGUCUUUACUGAGUAAGAUAUCAGGCUCAAAUGAGACACAAAACUGCCUGUUAAUGGAAUUAGAAUGAUUCAGGAUGGGUACUUUUCUGUUAAUAUACACACAAUUUCUAUCGAUUUUAUGUCCUUUCCCUUCAAGAAAUCAUUACAUUUAUUGAACAUAUUUUUCUUACUAUCUAGUUGUUGUUAGACCUAAGUCAUUGGAUGCAAUUAUUGAGAAAUCAUUAAAUUUGGGAGGUGAAUUUUUCCUCUGUUCUCAUGUUGUCUGUGUUAGUAGAUGGUGGAUUUCCAUGCACUGGAAUGGAUUUCUGUUCCAUAGUGUCUCGUGGGUACUUGUAGUGUGCCAGUUUCUCUUUGGGAUGUUUCCUGGACAGGGUUUAUAGAUGAGGAUCACAUCUGAAAAAUGAGCAUGUUUAACAUGUUACUUUCACUCACAAGUAUCUCUGUAAGGGGAGAGUAUCACAGAGCCGCCAUCACCCUGCCAGGGUAGUUUCCUGCUCAGAAGGUGUAAGCCACCUGGGAAAAAGAAAGGCUCAAAUAAUUAGUAAAUAAAUAAGAGACAGAGCCAGAAAUUAAGUUUGAAAAGGAAAGCAGAGGUCCUGAAAGGUUCCCCAAUCCCAGUAGAAGCUGGAACUGAACAACUAGAAAAAAGAUCAAGUUGUUUCUUUAAGGGAGAGUAGAUCAAAGGCAGAUAUAAGUUUUUAGCAGGAGGAAUACUGCUUUUUGGUGUGUUAGGGUUCUUGCAGCAAUGAAGUUGAUUUGGCAUCUUGAAAGGCCACACCCAAUUCUGAAAGGCUGUGUAGCUGUGUGGCUCCAGCUGGUCCACCCAUCUCCAGUGUAGUGCUGAACCUGACACAGCUUUGUAAGAAGCCAGUGGCUUCUAAGUCAAUUUGCUUCACACCAAGUUCACAUUGGCUCCUGUCAGGAGAGAAUAAACUCCAAUAAUGAUCAUAGCAUAAACCAAAAUAUGUAUCCACUUUACAUAAAAUAUAUCUUUUAAAUGAUUUCUAGAGCAGCACAAAAUGAAAAGAUAGAGUAGAAAAUAACAAGUUUUACCUGCAAAAAAAUUAUGUCCUGGUUAUAAUAUAAUUAUUGGAACAUAUUUCAAAAAAAGUAAGUAGAGUGAAAGUGGUGAGAGUAAACAGAGUCAGAAUAGGAGAAUAGGAAAAUGCAAUAAAAAUGAGAAAUAAAAAGAUUUAAAAUGAGAAUAAAAAUUGUCUCUGGAUAACAACAAAAAAAUGAAUGAAUGGAAUAUAACUCUCAUAAAUAAAUAGAGAAAAAUGAAAUAAUGUAGAACACCCAUACAAAUAUCAGACAAAUAUAUCAUGAAUAAUAACAGGAAAAGCUUGAGAUUCCCUAAUGUUAACAGAGUAGAAAAGAAGAUAUUUCUGUCCAGGAUUUCUAAUUUUACUCACACAUAACUUUGGGGGUUUCUGGGAAACAAAUAUUAUUCAACACUUAUUUGUUCUAGCUCCAAAAGGCCUAACCUGUUAUUUGCAUGAAUAAGCUGAGCUUCUCUGCUCCUUUGUCUCCCACCACAUACAGAGAAUGCUGAGGGAACUUAGCAAUUUCAAGGAGAAUCUCACCAUCAUUACUUGUUAAUCUACUCAGACAUGUGGGUCUAUCUAAUGUGGAAACUUCCUGACACACACUCUGGUUCAUGGAGCCUAGGGACCAGUAUGUAAUGCAGACCACCUGAUGGACUCCUGUAGUCAGUGGUCUAGACGUGGGCAAGAUUCCAUGUCUCUGAGGGGUUUCCUGGCAACUUAUUGGAGCAUGGCAGUCAUAGUCUGCUUGCGGAAUCUUUUGGGAACUGAAGGAACAUACCAUUGCACCUGACAAUGACCCAGCACUGCUGGAUUCUUGUGUCACUUGAAUUUUCAAAAAGCAUUCUCCUUCACUAUCAUUAUUCUAAACCACCUAUUUAAAGAGGCAGUACUCUAUGGAACUCUACUCAACUAAAUUUCCCACAGACACAACACAUGUAUUCCUGAUGAGAAUUUUCAGCCCAUUCCUAACUAUCACUAUCCUGAGAACAUUUGAAGAGGGUGAACUUCCACCAUUCUGUUUGGAGAGUUGGCUAUGCAUCUGGGAAGUUCAAGCAUGCAGUGGUUUCAGAUCAUGCCCACAGAGUUACUACAAUGGAACACUUCUCAAAGGUGUCUGCCCUCAGGAUUUUAUUGUAAUUCCCUGGAUGAUGUCUACAAGUAUCAGUGUGGUGAUAAUGUGGACAAGAACUUGAAGUGCCUCUCAACUGAGUGGCUUGACCCUACAUGAUGUGUAGCACAUGUGUGUUGUUUUACAGGGGAGCAAUUUUUUACUAGACAUAACCUUGGCACUUGCUGUCACAGAACAUCAAACAACAUGUUUCAAUGAAAGUGCCAGGAACUUUUAAUCUUUAGGCAGACCACAGAACCAAAAUGUAGCUGCCCAGAGCUAUCAACAGAUCUAUGUCUCAGUUUAAUUUUUAUACCACCCUGAUACACCUUGUGGGUGCCUCCAUUAACCAGUGUCCAUGAC